UACGUAGGGUGCGAGCGUUGUCCGGAAUUAUUGGGCGUAAAGGGCUCGUAGGCGGUUUGUCGCGUCGGGAGUGAAAACACUGGGCUUAACUCAGUGCUUGCUUCCGAUACGGGCAGACUAGAGGUAUGCAGGGGAGAACGGAAUUCCUGGUGUAGCGGUGAAAUGCGCAGAUAUCAGGAGGAACACCGGUGGCGAAGGCGGGUCUCUGGGCAGUACCUGACGCUGAGGAGCGAAAGUGUGGGGAGCGAACAGG
rnacentral:rRNA from 1 species